GGGAGAUCCAUGGAAGAGCCAUUGCAAAUAGAAGACGCUCUAAUAGAAGAAACAACUGCCGAAGUGCUUCUCGGUUUCACUUUUAGCAAAAAUCUAUCUUGUGCACUCGACUUGAAUGAUCCUCAGCUUGGGAUUGUGGAAAAGACUGGUUAAAUCAUCCCCUUACAGCCGGACUAGUGGAGGCUCAUGUGGGUGAAAAGAACACGCGCCAAAGAUCUUCUAGAGCCUACCCUCCCCAAGCAACCAAGAAGUCAAUUAUUACCAGAAUUGUUGAAGUUUGGGAAAGACUGCCUGUGCACAUCAGGGAGGAAGAAAGCAAAGCAAAAGUGAAAAGUUUAAACAAGACCUGCUACCUAUCUACUCAGUAAUAACAAAUAUGAAUCCAAAGAAGCAAGACAUUGUGAAACAUAUCUUUUUGUGAUGUUGAAUAUAAUAAUCCGUAAGGUCGAUCAAUAGGAAUCAUACAAAUUUAAAAUUGUAUAUCUCGUGUUCCUGUGACCAGAAAUAAAUAAGUCAUCGUUAUCAUCA